rnacentral:rRNA from 1 species
UACGAAGGGUGCAAGCGUUAAUCGGAAUUACUGGGCGUAAAGCGCGCGUAGGUGGUUCAGUAAGUUGGAAGUGAAAUCCCCGGGCUCAACCUGGGAACUGCUUUCAAAACUGCUGAGCUAGAGUAUGGCAGAGGGUGGUGGAAUUUCCUGUGUAGCGGUGAAAUGCGUAGAUAUAGGAAGGAACACCAGUGGCGAAGGCGACCACCUGGGCUACUACUGACACUGAGGUGCGAAAGCGUGGGGAGCAAACAGG